rnacentral:rRNA from 1 species
GACGUACCACCCAAACGUUAUUCGGAUUCACUGGGCUUACAGAGUCCGUAGGCGGUGGAGAAAGUUAGGCGUGAAAUCCCUCAGCUCAACUGAGGAAUAGCGCUUAAAACUACUUCGCUAGAGAGAGUCAGAGGUGAGCGGAACUGAUGGUGGAGCGGUGAAAUGCGUUGAUAUCAUCAGGAACACCGGUGGCGAAAGCGGCUCACUGGGGCUUUUCUGACGCUGAGGGACGAAAGCUAGGGGAGCGAACGGG